AACUUUCUAAAUCCGUGCCGUGAUUUCGUCAGAUACCAGAUAAUCAGUACUGAUGAGACUCCCAAGAUUAGUGAAAUG
rfam:Schistosoma mattheei strain Denwood, Zambia genome assembly, scaffold: SMTD_scaffold0007402